rnacentral:lncRNA from 1 species
AUGAGCAGGUCCGCACCCGGGAUCCAAACCCAUGAACAUGGGAUGCAGAAUCCGAGUAUGUGGAACUUUAACCCCUUGGCCAUGGGGCCAGCCCUCCCAGUUUUAGUUUUUAAGCACAUUCGUCCCAGUGCCGAAGUGAACAGAAAGAACAAUGGUUUCUACAUUAUUUCACGAGGAGGAAUUGGACGUCCUCUCAAGUACGUCUUCUUAAAGCUGCUCUUUAAGAACUUUGAAAUGGCAAUUUGCCAGGUGACUUUCUCUCUCAAAAGCAAGGCACACUUAUAAUAAUAUUUGAGUAAUAAAGACAACAGUAGACAAGCA